ACCUUUUUUUACUAGGCUUCAUUAUUAUACUUGGUAAACAAAUUGCUGCAGCAUAUCAUUUUGAACUGAAUGACAUUUGGGUUGAAAGUAAAUUUAUUGCUAAUGCUAGGUCACAGCUGAAUAAGCAAAUUCAACAACUUGAAAAAUAUAUUCAUUCCAGUAAUCGUGACGAAGAGAGGCAAAAGUCACAUUUUGCUACAUCUAUGGCACCACCUACAUCUUUUGUUUAUGAAACACCCCAACGAAAUGUCAUCAGUAGUGGACCAAAUAGAUAUGACGGACAGGCUUAUAUGGGUAAUGGUACAUAUGAGCCAUCAUACCAGUCUUCGUAUGUCAUGCCAUCAGGUCCAGUGGAGAGGGAACCAUUCAUCCCAAAGAUUAUUGAAGUUAAUUACAUUGAAGGUUCUGGAGAUAAACGGUGGAGCAGCCGGGACUUUUCUUGGACUAAAGAGUUAGAGGUAUUUAAACUGAAUUACUGUCAGUUUCCAAUGUAUACAAUCAUCGUUGUUAUAUGCAUUUUUUUUUUGUUGCUUUCAGGUUAAUAAUGAGUAUUUGGAAACCACUCAUUUCGCCCCAACCAAAGAGAGGUAAUUAAUGCCACAAUGAGUGGAUGUGAUGUUUUUGUUUUGAUGCCCACCGGUGGAGGAAAAAGUCUGACCUAUCAGGUAAUAUGAUUUAUCAAGAGGACUUGAUUUAUGGCCUUCUUCCUUUCUCAUUCACAAGUAGACUAUAGAUUCAACUUAACCUGGAAUUUUGUCCAUUUUUAUUAUUUUAUCUCAAACAGCCUUGGUAUUAUGAAUUAUGAUAUAGUUUCUUUGUUACAAAUUUACAAUUUUGAUAUUUUAUUACAAUCCUCUGCGCUCCCAAUUGCUCACACAAGUCAUUUUAUGCAAGAUCAAUUUCCUAUGAUUACUAAAAAAGUUAGAUUUUACUGUGAUCUUACAAUUUUGGUCUGUCUUGUGAUACAGCUACCAGCUCUCAUUAAUCCUGGUAUAACAUUAGUGAUUUCUCCCCUUGUGUCCCUUAUUCAAGAUCAAAUAAUGCACCUAUUGCAGGUAUUAGUAAUUUCCAAGUUAUAUGCUUUCAUUCUUCAUGUGUUUUUCUCAUAGAUGUGUGCUUAUUUGCUCCUUCUGGUUUCCGAAUAGGCAAAUAUACCCGCUGCUUACUUAAGUGCCAAUAUGGAAUGGGCUGAACAGCAGGAUAUCCUUAGAGAACUCAAUUCUGCUUAUUGUAAAUACAAGUUGUUAUAUGUGACACCCGAAAAGGUUGCCAGGUGAGUGUCAUUGUUGAUAGCUGCUUAUUCUUUGAAACAUUUUUUUCUUUGUAUGCACUCAUUUUCACUUAAGAACCAUAUUUUUCAUUUCAUAACGCCUUUUUGUAUAUUGACUGCAGAAGUGACGUUCUUCUGCGACACUUGGAGAGUUUACACGUUCGUGAGUUGCUUUCAAGGAUUGUAAUUGAUGAAGCUCACUGUGUGAGCCAAUGGGGGCAUGAUUUUAGACCAGAUUAUCAGGUUGGAGCUUUUAUUCCUUCCAACUGGAUUCAAUAUCGUGUGAUAUACAUUUUUUUUUGCAGAAGAUCAUGUGAUAUAUUGUUUGAACUUUAAUAGAUUCUUUAAUUCUCCCAGGGACUUGGUGUAUUGAAACAGAAAUUCCCAAAUACUCCCGUUUUAGCUUUAACAGCUACAGCAACAGCUAGUGUAAAAGAAGAUGUUGUGCAAGCACUCGGUCUUGUUAACUGCAUUGUUUUUCGGCAAAGUUUUAAUCGCCCAAAUUUACGGUGUGUUAAACAAGUACCAACCUCUUAUUAAUAGUUUGAGUGGAUGAAUCAUGUCUGAUUUGAACAUUGCAGGUAUUCCGUUGUCCCCAAGACCAAAAAGUGUUUGGAGGAUAUUGAUAAAUUUAUCGGGGAAAAUCAUUUUGAUGAAUGUGGCAUCAUCUAUUGUCUUUCACGAAUGGACUGUGAAAAGGUUGCUGAAAAAUUACAGGUUGGUCUUUUCUUGUGAUGAACUGUUUGGGAUUUUUUUGUGUUUUCAAGCUUUUCUUUCUUUAUCUUCCUCUUUUCAGCAUUCUUUGUUGUUUGUGUUUCAUUGUCUCUGCAUGAUAUGCGAUCUGAUAAACCAUGACUGCACUCUUGUGACCUCCUCACUCUUAGUCUUAUGUAAAUGCGAAGGUGGUAUCUAAUUGUGUGGCUUGUGAAUUCAUUAUCUGGUUUUAUUCAUUGUUCAGGAAUGCGGGCAUAAAUGUGCAUUUUAUCAUGGGAGCAUGGAUCCUGAUCAACGUGCUUUUGUUCAAAGGCAAUGGAGCAAAGAUGAGAUCAAUAUAAUUUGUGCUACCGUGGCAUUUGGAAUGGGUAUGUUUGCAUCUUUGCAACUUCUUCUUGCAUUGAUUAAUGGAAUGAAAUCGUAUUUAAAUUUAAAGUUGAUGUUUCAGGGAUUAACAAACCUGAUGUCCGCUUUGUAAUCCAUCAUUCCCUCCCAAAAUCUAUUGAAGGCUAUCAUCAGGUACUCAUAGAUCUUCGAAGUAUGUAUUAGGCAUGGAUUUUGAUUCAUUUGACCAAUUACUCUAUGAAUUUCCUUUCAGGAAUGCGGACGAGCUGGUAGAGAUGGUCAGAGUUCCUCCUGUGUCUUGUAUUAUAGCUACAGUGACUAUGUUAGUAUUGGUUAUGACACUACUACUUGAAUAUAAAUUCGUAUGUUUUUAUUUCUUAUAUUAGCUGUAUAUCUCAUGUUCACAGAUCCGAGUUAAGCAUAUGUUAAGCCUAGGAGCAAUAGAGCAAAGCCCAAUGCCAUCUGGAUACAGUCGUUCAAAUGCGAUAAAUUCAGGAAGGAUACUGGAAACAAACACUGAAAACCUUUUGCGCAUGGUAUUAUCUUGUUAAGGACUUUGAAAUACUACAUUACACACAUGCACACACAUAUUACUAAAUCUUCAUCUUGAACUUUCCCAGGUCAGUUAUUGUGAAAAUGAUGUGGACUGUCGGCGCUAUAUUCAGCUCGUUCAUUUUGGGGAGAAGUUUGAUUCUUCAACCUGUCAGAAAACAUGUGAUAAUUGUGUGAAGGUCACAAGUUUCGUUGAGAAGGAUGUCACCGAAAUUGCAAAACAAUUGGUCUGGAAUCAAAUUCUAUCCAUAUAUUUUCAUCCCUUCACGUCAUGAAAUUUCAUUAGUUUGUAAUAUUUGAGUCCACUUGUUCUCAGUUGUACUUUUAACUGUCAUCUAUUUAGGUUGAACUCGUUAAGCUAACGGGACAGAAGGUCUCAGCAUCUCAUAUAUUAGAGGUGUAUCGUGGUUCCUUAAGCCAGAUGGUACGACAAUAAACAUCUUAUUUUAUUUUUAUUUUUUCACUCUUUGCUAUUCUUUAGCUAAAACCGUAGUUAUCUUUAAUCUUUUCGUUUUUAACAUCAAAAUUAGGUCAAGAAACACCGACAUGAGACUGUGCGUCUUCACGGUGCUGGGAAGCAUCUAGCUAAGGGUGAGGCUUCCCGUAUAUUGCAACAUCUUGUUGUUGAGGAUUUUCUUGUGGAGGAAGUAAAGAAAAGUGAUUUUUAUGGAUCAGUAUCAUCUGUAUUGAAGGUAUCAGACUCAUUCUACUUUAAUAUGUCUGUAUGCUGCAAUUUUAUUCCAAAACAAAUAAUGUGUUCUUCUCAUUGUGCUUCAAAUGUGUGUGAUAUAGCAUCUUAGUUACUUUCAACAAUUAUAUUCCAGUAACUGUGAGCUGUCUAAUGCUUUAACUUGUUUCCAGGUAAAUGAGACAAAGGUCCGUAAUGUGUUAUUUGGUAGCCAAAGAAUUAUAUUGAGGUUUGUCCUUCCUAUCAAGCUAUUUCAUGCUUAAAUUUGCGAAUCAGGGUGCCAAUGCUCAUUGGUUAAACAACUUUACACGAAAGUUCUUUUUUCUUUCGUUUGUGAGGGGUUAUAUAAAUAUGAUAUCAUUUGCCAUAGUUAGGGUGUCAAUGCUGAAGCCUCAGAUAUAUUUAACUUGACCUCAGUUUCAACUGAAUUUUGUUUCAGCCUUCUAUGGCAGCAAGUUCACAUUGCAUGCAUGUUUUUUUUUAUCUAUCCAUAUUCUACUCAGUGGCAUCUUUAACUUUUGCAGAUUCCCGUCUUCUGUGAAAGCAUCAAAGCCUGGGAAAUCUGAUAUAACUCCAGCCAAAGGUUCUCUGACUUCCGGAAAGCUGAAUCUUCCCAUUGACAUUCCUGACCAACCUCAAACUGAAGUAGACGUGGUAUAUAAUAUUUUUUCCCCCUCCAAUUUUGUUGGAAUUUCUAACUGUUUGAAUUAUACUUAAAGAAAAAUAUAUUACAGAACCUAGCAGCUAAUUUGUACACUGCUCUGAGGAUGUUGCGGACAGCUCUUUGUAGAGAAGCUGGAGAGGGUGUUAUGGCUUACCACAUAUUUGGGUAAGUUAUUAUUUUCAUUUUCUUCUAAUACAAGAAUCAAGUUAACUUUUAAUCCCUUUUGUAUAAAAGUGUAUAAAAGCAUCUGAUAAGUUGUUGUUUCUAUUUAGCAAUGCUACGUUGCAGCAGAUAAGCAAGAGACUACCAAGAACAAAAGAAGAACUUCUUGAUAUCAAUGGCAUUAGCAAGUAAGUUCUUUCUAGGAAUUCUACAGUGUCCUUAUUACUGAACCAGUUUUCAUUGAUGUUUUUGCAUAAUGCAGGACUAAAGUAAGCAAGUAUGGGGAUCGGUUACUGGAAACAAUUGAGAAAACCAUAAACGAAUUUUACAAUACGGAUAAAAACAGCAGUGGCAGCAAAGGCAGUGCUGAUUCAGCCAAAAGAAGACGAGAGGCAAAUAGAGAUCCAGAUUCAAAUGCGGAGGAUGAUGAUGAUUCCUUAAUCAAAAGUACCGGUCGUUCCAAGAAAAGGACAGUAAGGAGACAAAUUAAAAAGGCUGAAAUAUAUGAUUCAGAAGAGGAAGAUUAUUACCAUGGAUGCCUUGAUGAGGACCUAGAUUGUAUUAAUAUUGAAGAUGAGGCAUUAGAUAAAAUAAAUGGUACAGAUGCUGCAGGAAGAGUACUACCUCGAUGGACAGCAUCUUGAUAUGGUGUAUGUUGAUUAUCUUAUUAUUGUAUAUGUCCCUUCAGGAUAUGAAUGUUAGAGUUUUUCUUGGACCAACCUUCCAUUAGUUUAAGUUUGUUGGAACAGUGUUUUGUUCCAACAGAGCAUUGCAGUGGAAGAUAAACAACACAAGCGGAUCAACGAUAAAAAUUGUGGAUAACUUGAUGGCGAAGUAAUAGUAGUACACAACUACGGAUAUUUUUCUUUCUAUUUUAUUUAUUCCUGGCAUCAGUGUAAUUGAAUGAUGUUGGUGAAAAACUGCAAUUUUAAUUUGGAGAUGGUGUAUAUAGUUGAUUGUCUUUGAUAAAUUUGACAUUUCAAUCAUGCUAUUAGUCUUGAUAGUGUAAUUAUUUAUGAGUAGAAUAAUAUGUAGCUAAACUUUACUUAUUUCCCAGCCAAACUUUGAAUUAGCCGAGACUCUUUUUAGCGGGCAGAUUAAUUAUUUACAUGAAAUAUUCAUAUCAAACAAUUUAAUAAUUCUGUUUGGGAUGACUGUAACUUAGACAGAAUUACCUGCAACUUUAGUAAAAACUAUACUUUUAAAUUUCAACAAAAUAUCGUCACCCCUAUAAUUUUCCAAAUUUAGCAUCAAUUCAAAUAUGCGCUUAAUCUCCAAAAGAUACUACCGAAAGUUACUUCAAUUUAUAAUUUAUCCAUGAUCUUCAUAUACCAAGAAUUCCAUUUCUUAUAAAAAAGGAUUUUGUUUUAUUCUUAUGAUUCUUACUAUUUGUAUAAUACUAUAGGGUUUUAUAAGGUAGUAUAUAUUUGUUAUUAUAUAUAUGGAAAUAUGCAAUAUAUAUUCUCCAAGUAUAUUUGGCGCCAAAAUCAUUGUACUGCAAUCAGGUGAAACAAAACAAUGUUCCUUUACUAAAAAAAUUAGAUGAUGCGGCAAAUAUAGUCCAUUGGAUAUUUUGAAGGGCUUAGAUCAGAUUUGACUGCAGUGACUGCACACUCAAAGUGAAUUCACCCAAUCCAUAUCCCCAAAUUCCUAAGUCACAACCCUAAGCCACAUGUCAAAGUCUUUAAUUUUUUAAANNNNNNNNNNNNNNNNNNNNNNNNNNNNNNNNNNNNNNNNNNNNNNNNNNNNNNNNNNNNNNNNNNNNNNNNNNNNNNNNNNNNNNNNNNNNNNNNNNNNNNNNNNNNNNNNNNNNNNNNNNNNNNNNNNNNNNNNNNNNNNNNNNNNNNNNNNNNNNNNNNNNNNNNNNNNNNNNNNNNNNNNNNNNNNNNNNNNNNNNNNNNNNNNNNNNNNNNNNNNNNNNNNNNNNNNNNNNNNNNNNNNNNNNNNNNNNNNGUAACUCUGAUUCACAUGUCACUUUCUUCUUGAUCCGUAUCUGUUUCACGACUUCACAUUCUGCCUUGCAACCUAUCGUCGUCCAGCACACCACCGUCGUACUUCGUCCUCUGUCAUCCAUCGCGCCACCGUCGUAGUGUCUCCGCCGUCACCACGCGUGCCGCCGUCGUGUUUGCUCUGUCGCCGACCUUCAAACAGUACGAAAUUUGGAACCAAACGAUUUCUUAUUUUUCUACCACUAACCAAACUAUUUCUUUCUUUUAUCUUUGCAACCGAUACAAUGGAACCGGAAUAUGAUGCUGAACUGAAUUACCAGAAGUUUAACAAGUUCAUUCGUCAACAUAAGGAGAGUUUGAAGGAUGAAAGAGUUUUGGAAGCCAAUAUAGACGAAGCUAUAACAUUCUAUGGGGAUGAUGAGGUUACGCUUCGACCUGAGACUAAGGUUAACUCAUAUUCCAUCACCAUCGCUGACCAAACAGAGUGGUAUGAAUAUAUUUUAACCCUAAUCUUGGUUUAUCUCUAUUUUAAUCUACAUUAUUCUAUUUUUAUUAUUUUAUCUAUAUUUUUUUGUAGGGAUCACUGUCAUUGGACUUCUGGGGCGAAGUAUGAAAUGACUUUUGAACUUAUUGAGGAGAAAAGUAUAUUGAAGAAGGCAAGAAUCGCCGAAGCUCUCAUUUUCGCCGUUAACCACCGNNNNNNNNNNNNNNNNNNNNNNNNNNNNNNNNNNNNNNNNNNNNNNNNNNNNNNNNNNNNNNNNNNNNNNNNNNNNNCCCACAUCAUUCACUUUUUUGUCCGGGAUAGUCUUUGUCUUUUCAAACGAAAUUUCGGCAGAGAGGUAUUUUAAAAUACCUCAUUUUUUUGUUCAAGUACCCUUUUGUUUAAUUUUAUUAUUUAUUCUUAUUUUUUAUUAUUAUCAAUAUUAUUAACAUUAUUAUUAUUAUUUAUUUAUUAAUAUUUUUUUUAUUUGUAUUUAUUAUUUAUUUUAUUUCUCAAAAAAGAGCAACCCUUUCUCUUCUUUUUUUUUCUUUUUACGUUUUUUUCCUUCUUUAUUUUUUUUUUUUAUUAUUUAUUUUAUUCAUCUUUUUUUUUUUNNNNNNNNNNNNNNNNNNNNNNNNNNNNNNNAUGUCCAAGAACAGCAAAGGUCAGUGCAUGAUUCUCCAACCCAGAAAGGAUUUUUCCUUUCUCUUCUUUCUUUUUCCCAAAAAUUCUGCAACAAGAAGAACACGUUAAAAUUCCUGCAGCCAACUGAACAACAAACUCAAACCGUUGUCCUCUUUCCCAUUCGGACCAUUACUUCCAACAAGGAAAAAUUGAAAGUCAACUUUUUCCCUUUUCCAUCAAACAUAAACCCUAAUUUUUGGGUAUAAAUAAAAGGAACCAAAACUCAACAGAGAAAAAGAUGGAGAAAGAGAACCACAGCCGCAAAACCAAAAACAACCACAAAAAACUCUAAAAUUUUCAAUCACAUCCUCAAACCUGCAAAACCAAAAGAAAACAACACAAAUAGAGAGAAAAAGAAAAAAGAAAAGAAAAUAGCAACACAGCAACAUCAGCGUUGCACUUCCUCUUCCACCACCAACUUUUUUUUUUAAAUCAUCAAGACUAGACGAAAACAAGAACGCAGGAACAGAAAGAAGAAGAAGGAGAAAGACUUCGGAAACUGCCUUCUCCGAUCUACUUGUGGGUGAGGUUUCUGAACNNNNNNNNNNNNGGGGUGGUUUGGAUUUUCCGGCGCGGCGCCGCCGCCGUCUGUCCUGACGGCCGCCGCGCCGGCGACGGGUUAUAAAAGCAAACCCUAGCAGAGCUUAGGUUAGAGAAGAGAGGAGAUGAAAGAAAAAUAAAAAAAUACAAUGGGUUUCUCUGUAUAUUGCUAUUUAUAGCAAAUUUUUUAUUUUUUAGGUGAUUUUUAUUUUAAUUAUUUGCUAUUUAUUGUUAAUUAAUCUCUUUUAUCCCCUUUAUGAGCUUAUGAAAUAAGUGCUUUUGGCAUAAGCUAUUUUUAGCUUUUUCAGCCUCUUAAAGCAUGAUGUUGAGGCUCUUUUAACU
rnacentral:lncRNA from 1 species